GCCCAGUGGGGUGGUGGCUACCGCGAAACAGGGCACUUGGUUCACAAGGACCGGGGAUCCGGCGGCACCCAUGGGAUCGGAGAACCGCUCUGCGCUAAGCUCUAGAUAGACUCGCCGAAGCUUGUCACAACCGCCACCCAGGACCCAUCUCGGGGCACCGUGAGCUUCAUUCUCACGCUUUGGGCGAGCCGCACCUGGAAUCCCUAGAAACAUUGGCAACCAGAAGCGAGCUCCCGGUAGCCGAUCCCCGCCAGCCAUCGCUCGGACCCGGUCUCCAAGGACUGGAAGAGUGGCUGCCAUCCGUGGUCCUGGAGUUCAGACUCUGUAUGCCGAGUCCGCGACAUAGCCUGACCCUCGUCACACUCCAACAAACGAAGCCUUCAGCCACCACGGACGCUCAGACCCACACCCGUCAUCCACCUGCCGCGGACACACCUGUGACUCUGGCGGGCACGCACAAAUACACAUAUACACACACAGGUGAUCCACUCAUCACCACACACACACACACACACACACACACACACUUCUGGGGACACCCACUGGGCUCAGCGCAUUGCUACGGGGAAGAACUAUUGUUCCCUGCCACGAAGCUCUCACCUCUGAAUGUCUGGAUAUCGCUGUGGAUCUGCGCCUGACUCCAAUUCCCCUAGACUCUGACACCGCGGCGGCUCACACCUCUCGGCUGCUGCAGUUGGCGUCGAGCUGCCUCCUUAUAGCGUCGGCCCAGGCCCCGCCCCCUCAGAGGCAGGACCAACCCACUCCUUCACCGAUCCCGGGGACUCGCUGGCCCGCCCUCCCCUCUGGGAAUCUAAGCCCGCGCCAGACAGCUAGAACCGGCGCGCGUUAAGAGGGCGCGCCCUCCCCUCCCCCACACCUGGGCUAUUCUCUUGUCACGCAGCGCACCAGCAGAGCCACAUACAUCUAUGAACAACAGUACAGUUAGAGCUGAGUGAGUGUUUAUGGGUCUGUCCCUGACCAACUGUGGGAAGGACUAACUCUUUUCCAGAUCACUGAUAUUAGUAAAUAAAAUCCUGGGUUUCGGG
rnacentral:lncRNA from 1 species